rnacentral:rRNA from 1 species
GAUGAACGCUGGCGGCGUGCCUAAUACAUGCAAGUCGAGCGGACAGACGAGGCUCUUUCUCCUCUGCCGUGACGGGCGGGUGAGUAAGUCAUACGUGGCUACCCUAUCUUUAAGGCUGGGGUACCUUCGGGAACCCGGAGAUACUACCGGAUAAUAUAUUGAACCGGAUGGUUCAAUAGUGCUAGCGGUUUUUGCUGUGCCUUCUACAUAGAUCCUCGCCGCAUUAGCUAGUUGGUACGGUAACGGCUUACCAAGGCGACGAUGCGUAGCCGACCUGAGAGGAUGAUCGGCCACACUGGAACUGAGACACGGUCCAGACUCCUACGGGAGGCAGCAGUGGGGAAUAUUGCGAAAUGGGCGAAAGCCUGACCGAGCAACGCCGCGUGAGUGAAGAAGGUCUUCGGAUCGUAAAACUCUGUUAGUAGGGAAGAACAGAUGUGUAAGUAACUAUGCCUGUUUUGACGGUACCUACAGAGAAAGCAACGGCUAACUACGUG